UUAUUUGAGAGUUUGAUCCUGGCUCAGGAUGAACGCUGGCGGCGUGCCUAACACAUGCAAGUUGAGCGAUUUACUUCGGUAAAGAGCGGCGGACGGGUGAGUAACGCGUGGGUAACCUACCCUGUACACACGGAUAACAUACCGAAAGGUAUGCUAAUACGGGAUAAUAUAUUUGAGAGGCAUCUCUUGAAUAUCAAAGGUGAGCCAGUACAGGAUGGACCCGCGUCUGAUUAGCUAGUUGGUAAGGUAACGGCUUACCAAGGCGACGAUCAGUAGCCGACCUGAGAGGGUGAUCGGCCACAUUGGAACUGAGACACGGUCCAAACUCCUACGGGAGGCAGCAGUGGGGAAUAUUGCACAAUGGGCGAAAGCCUGAUGCAGCAACGCCGCGUGAGUGAUGAAGGCCUUCGGGUCGUAAAACUCUGUCCUCAAGGAAGAUAAUGACGGUACUUGAGGAGGAAGCCCCGGCUAACUACGUGCCAGCAGCCGCGGUAAUACGUAGGGGGCUAGCGUUAUCCGGAUUUACUGGGCGUAAAGGGUGCGUAGG
rnacentral:rRNA from 1 species